CUAAAACUAACGGUGCAUUGAUGACUUGGAUGGUUGCCAGCACAAUAGUCACACAUAAUUGCCAUCCUUUGACUCUGUUGGGCUGCGAUAACGUCCAACCUCCUCGAAAGUUCUUCAAUCUGUGCCGACAUUGCAGAAAGUGUUGCGAGUCUGUCAAUCUCCGCUCCCCUUGGCUGAGUCAUGUUUGUGUAUGGCCAUUGAUACGCAAAGUCAUCC
rnacentral:lncRNA from 1 species